AUGAGCACCAUGCACCUGCUGACACUCGCCCUGCUUUUCUCCUGCUCCUUCGCCCGUGCCGCCUGCGACCCCAAGAUCGUCAACAUCGGCGCGGUGCUGAGCACGCGGAAGCACGAGCAGGUCUUCCGCGAGGCCGUGAACCAGGCCAACAAGCGGCACGGCUCCUGGAAGAUCCAGCUCAAUGCCACCUCCGUCACCCACAAGCCCAACGCCAUCCAGAUGGCCCUGUCCGUGUGCGAGGACCUCAUCUCCAGCCAGGUGUACGCCAUCCUAGUCAGUCACCCACCCACGCCCAAUGACCACUUCACCCCCACCCCUGUCUCCUACACAGCCGGCUUCUACCGCAUCCCCGUUCUGGGGCUGACCACCCGCAUGUCCAUCUACUCAGACAAGAGCAUCCACCUGAGCUUCCUGCGCACCGUGCCGCCCUACUCCCACCAGUCCAGCGUCUGGUUCGAGAUGAUGCGCGUCUACAGCUGGAACCACAUCAUCCUCCUGGUCAGCGACGACCACGAGGGCCGCGCGGCGCAGAAGCGCCUGGAGACGCUGCUGGAGGAGCGCGAGUCCAAGAGUAAAAAAAGGAACUAUGAAAACCUCGACCAACUGUCCUAUGACAACAAGCGCGGACCCAAGGCGGAGAAGGUGCUGCAGUUUGACCCGGGGACCAAGAAUGUGACGGCCCUGCUGAUGGAAGCGCGGGAGCUGGAGGCCCGGGUCAUCAUCCUCUCGGCCAGCGAGGACGACGCUGCCACCGUGUACCGCGCCGCCGCGAUGCUGAACAUGACGGGUUCCGGGUACGUGUGGCUGGUGGGGGAGCGCGAGAUCUCGGGGAACGCCCUGCGCUACGCCCCAGAUGGCAUCAUCGGGCUGCAGCUCAUCAACGGCAAGAACGAGUCGGCCCACAUCAGCGAUGCGGUGGGCGUGGUGGCCCAGGCCGUGCACGAGCUCCUGGAGAAGGAGAACAUCACCGACCCGCCCCGGGGCUGCGUGGGCAACACCAACAUCUGGAAGACCGGGCCGCUCUUCAAGAGAGUGCUGAUGUCCUCCAAGUACGCGGACGGCGUGACCGGCCGCGUGGAGUUCAACGAGGACGGGGACCGCAAGUUCGCCAACUACAGCAUCAUGAACCUGCAGAACCGCAAGCUGGUGCAAGUGGGCAUCUACAACGGCACCCACGUCAUCCCCAACGACAGGAAGAUCAUCUGGCCGGGCGGAGAGACAGAGAAGCCGCGAGGGUACCAGAUGUCCACCCGGCUGAAGAUUGUGACGAUCCACCAGGAGCCCUUCGUGUACGUCAAGCCCACGCUGAGCGAUGGCACGUGCAAGGAGGAGUUCACAGUCAACGGGGAUCCUGUCAAGAAAGUGAUCUGCACGGGGCCCAACGACACGUCGCCGGGCAGCCCACGCCACACGGUGCCUCAGUGCUGUUACGGCUUCUGCAUCGACCUGCUCAUCAAGCUGGCGCGGACCAUGAACUUCACCUACGAGGUGCACCUGGUGGCUGAUGGCAAGUUCGGCACACAGGAACGGGUGAAUAACAGCAAUAAGAAGGAGUGGAACGGCAUGAUGGGCGAGCUGCUCAGCGGGCAGGCGGACAUGAUCGUGGCCCCGCUGACCAUCAACAACGAGCGCGCACAGUACAUCGAGUUCUCCAAGCCCUUCAAGUACCAGGGCCUGACCAUUCUGGUCAAGAAGGAGAUCCCGCGGAGCACGCUGGACUCCUUCAUGCAGCCCUUCCAGAGCACGCUGUGGCUUCUGGUGGGGCUGUCGGUGCACGUGGUGGCUGUGAUGCUCUACCUGCUGGACCGCUUCAGCCCCUUCGGCCGGUUCAAGGUGAACAGCGAAGAGGAGGAGGAGGACGCGCUGACGCUGUCCUCGGCCAUGUGGUUCUCCUGGGGCGUCCUGCUGAACUCGGGCAUCGGAGAAGGCGCCCCCCGGAGCUUCUCCGCGCGCAUCCUGGGCAUGGUGUGGGCCGGCUUUGCCAUGAUCAUCGUGGCCUCCUACACCGCCAACCUGGCGGCCUUCCUGGUCCUGGACCGGCCCGAGGAGCGCAUCACGGGGAUCAACGACCCGCGGCUGAGGAACCCCUCGGACAAGUUCAUCUACGCGACGGUGAAGCAGAGUUCGGUGGACAUCUACUUCCGGCGGCAGGUGGAGCUGAGCACCAUGUACCGACACAUGGAAAAGCACAACUACGAGAGCGCGGCCGAGGCCAUCCAGGCCGUGCGGGACAACAAACUGCACGCCUUCAUCUGGGACUCGGCGGUGCUGGAGUUCGAGGCCUCGCAGAAGUGCGACUUGGUGACCACGGGCGAGCUGUUCUUCCGCUCCGGCUUCGGCAUCGGCAUGCGCAAGGACAGCCCCUGGAAGCAGAACGUCUCUCUGUCCAUCCUCAAGUCUCAUGAGAACGGCUUUAUGGAAGACCUGGACAAGACGUGGGUGAGGUACCAGGAGUGUGACUCGCGCAGCAAUGCCCCUGCCACCCUCACCUUCGAGAACAUGGCAGGGGUCUUCAUGCUGGUGGCCGGGGGCAUCGUGGCUGGGAUCUUCCUGAUCUUCAUCGAAAUUGCCUACAAGCGGCACAAGGACGCCCGCCGGAAGCAGAUGCAGCUGGCUUUCGCCGCGGUGAACGUGUGGAGAAAGAACCUGCAGGAUAGAAAGAGUGGUAGAGCAGAGCCCGACCCUAAAAAGAAAGCCACAUUUAGGGCUAUCACCUCCACCCUGGCUUCCAGCUUCAAGAGACGUAGGUCCUCCAAAGACACGAGCACCGGGGGUGGACGCGGCGCUUUGCAAAACCAAAAAGACACAGUGCUGCCGCGACGCGCUAUUGAGAGGGAGGAGGGCCAGCUGCAGAUGUGUGCCCGUCAUAGGGAGAGCUGAGACGCCCCGCCCGCCCUGCUCUGGCCCCCCCCCGCAGACAGACAGACAGACGGACGGGACCGCGGCCUGGCCCACGCAGAGUCCCGGAGCACGACGGGCAGUACCAUCCCACUGAUAUCACGGGCCCGCUCAACCUCUCAGAUCCCUCGGUCAGCACCGUGGUGUGAGGCCCCCGGAGGCGCCCACCUGCCCAGUUAGCCCGGCCGAGGACACUGAGGGGUCCUGCUGCUCGGGAAGGCCUGAGGGAAGCCCACCGGCCCGAGACUGCCCACCCUGGGCCUCCCGUCCGUUCGUCUGCCCUGCUGCCUGGUGGGCGGCCCCUGCUGGACCCAGGCGCGGACCAGAGCGGCUGAGGACGGGCCAGAGCUGAGCUGGCUGGGCAGGGCCACAGGGCGCUCCGGCAGAGGCAGGGCCCUGGGGUCUCUGAGAGUGGGGAGAGGGGCUCGGAGCAGAGACUGAAGCCCCAUCUUUCCCCAGCCACCACCAGAGCCACAGUGCGGGCCUGUGGCCCCAGGGGACUGAGUCACCCCUGCUGCAGGGCCCACUCCUAGCAGCCUCGGCCCCGCCCGCUCUCCUCUUCUUGCCCUCCCCUUCCUCCUCGAUCCCUCUCGCGGAACCAACCCUGCCCUCCCCCGACCGCAGACCCUGACCCCCGCACCGGCAGCCGCUCCGCAGGGGGCUCUGUGGCCUCCCAGCGGCCUCCCUGCUUUUCCUCCAGACUCCGUCCGACCGAGCCUCCUCCUCUCCGCCUCUUCCGGCAUGCAGCCCAGGAUGGGCCUCCCCAAUCCCUGGCUCCGGACUGUCCUCAGCCCGCCCGCCACCUUGUACAGGCCUAGCCCGUCCUGUGUCCGAGCGCGUGCCUUCCCUCGCGGCCCGUGCGCGGCUGCGCGCUGACCCACCGCCCCAGAAGCUGGAAGCGCACCGCACCGCUCCCUGACCCAGUGUGUGCAGUGGUGAUGCCUAAAAGAAUGUCACGAAAAC